rnacentral:rRNA from 1 species
AUUGAACGCUGGCGGCAGGCCUAACACGUGCAAGUCGAGCGGAUGAAGGGAGCUUGCUCCUGGAUUCAGCGGCGGACGGGUGAGUAAUGCCUAGGAAUCUGCCUGGUAGUGGGGGAUAACGUCCGGAAACGGGCGCUAAUACCGCAUACGUCCUGAGGGAGAAAGUGGGGGAUCUUCGGACCUCACGCUAUCAGAUGAGCCUAGGUCGGAUUAGCUAGUUGGUGGGGUAAAGGCCUACCAAGGCGACGAUCCGUAACUGGUCUGAGAGGAUGAUCAGUCACACUGGAACUGAGACACGGUCCAGACUCCUACGGGAGGCAGCAGUGGGGAAUAUUGGACAAAGGGCGAAAGCCUGAUCCAGCCAUGCCGCGUGUGUGAAGAAGGUCUUCGGAUUGUAAAGCACUUUAAGUUGGGACGAAGGGCAGUAAGUUAAUACCUUGCUGUUUUGACGUUACCAACAGAAUAAGCACCGGCUAACUUCGUG